rnacentral:lncRNA from 1 species
AAGAAACUGCAGCAACAGUCUUUAAAAAGGGAAUAUUUGCAGCAACGCAGAGAACAACAGCCGCAGCUUUCUAUUAACAAGCAUAAUGCCAAACACAAUUUCACAGAAGGUUCAACGUUUCUAAUGGCGUUCCCCCGUUUUAUGCUUAAGUAUAAAACAGAGCUCACCCUACAAGCAAUGUGCUGAAAGGUGCCCAACAAUGGUCUGCCAACUCAACGAUGUACAUUGUUCAGAAACUCAAUCAUGUACUACAGUGUCCAGAAACUCAAUCAUUUACACACCUCUCGAAAUAGAACCUGUUCACCGUGAUCCUCUGAUAGACAAGUCUCUCCUAGUUAGGAAGAAGGGUAUUACCACAUGAUAAAUCCUUCACAACAGCACGUCUCUGUUAAAAUCAGCUACAUUUCACAUCAAAUGGAUUUUUUAAAAUAGGGCGAGGGCACAAAUGUCCAUUGCCAAUAGUAGAAUAUUAUGUACUUUUUUGAGAAGCAUAAAUUACAUUAGAAUCAUAAUAACCCUAAUAGUGAAGCAAAUAAUCUCAUCGAGCACACAUACAGAACGGUAACCUAAUGGCCACAUGCCAUAAUUGCAAUAUCCUGAGGUCUAUGUAUUGUGGUUAUGCAUCUGUCUAAAAACUUUUCUUGUGCAAAAAAAAAAAAACUAUAUGUAAUCAACUUAGGAAUUGCACUCCAAGCGAGCCUCCAAGUUACUCCCUUUGUUUCAUAUUAUUAGACUUUUUGAUUUUUAAAGUCAAACUUCUUUAUGUUCGACCCAAUUUAUAGAAAAAUCUAGUAACAUUUUCAACACAAAACCAAUAUAGUAUCAAAAUAUAUUUAAUCUUAGAUUUAAUAAAACUAAUUCGGUGUUGUGAAUAUUGCUAUAUUUUCAUAUAAACUUGAUCAAACUUAAAGAAGUUUGACUUUGAAAAAAAUUCAAAAUGUCUUGGAAUAUGAAACAGAGGGAGUAGUAAAUAUUCAUAAAUAAGGCAUCGUUGAGCACAUCCUUUAUAUUCAAUUAUAUUAGAAAUGAAAGAAUUCCCACUCAUUAGUGCAUAGUCAUUGUCCUGAUGACUUGUAGUGGUCAGAGUUACCUUUUGGAUAUCAUAAUGGCUACUAACAUAAAGAUGAAUUACUAACAUUUAAACCCAACAUACAUGAUACAUCUCAAGGUAACAUCCCAACAAAAAUGCUUUCCUGGUUACUGAUAGCCCAGUGGAAAAGGCAUACCAUUCCUACUACAGUUGUGAUGGUUGCAACUAAAGUGUCAAACUACAAAUGUGAUGAUUACAAGUUCAUAACCACCAGGGAUUUUCUAGUGUUUUGAGGGAUAUAAAUUCUAUAAACCCUGCUAAAAGAUGCUCACAAGAGAGAAAUAUAGUCUCCAUAAUGCCUUUAACUACUCGGAUAUACUUGGGGACUGCGCUGAGUACCUCGAACUCUAGUCACAUCACUGCUUUAAUAACCAGUAAAUUGUAUUGCGGUUUGUCAUGCACAUAAAGGGCCUGUUUGGAGGAGCUUCUGGUAGCUGCAGCUUCUCACAGAAUCUCCAGAAGCCAGAAGCUCUCCCAAACAGUACUUAGUUUUUGAGAAUCUAGAGUUGCAGAAUUCAGAAAAUGAACUAGAAGCCAGAAGCUGGAAAACCCAACUUUUCUAGAUUCUGGUUGGCUUCUCACUAGCUGCUUUUCAAAAUCUUAAGCUCCCCCAAAUAGGUCCAAAGAUAGUCAUGCUGUCCCCUUAACAAUAUUAUAGUGUGUUAGCUAAAAAAAUAAUAUUAUAGUGUGUAUUUUAUCUUAGAACCAUCAAAAUUUGUCCUACCUUUACAAUCCAUUUCCUCACAUGAGCGAUGUAUUCCACUGAAGCAAAGACAUACAGAACACAAGUCAACCCCAGACAAAAAAAAAACUAUAUUCCUCACUCAAGACCCAUAUAGUUAAUAUGAAAUUAGCUGGAUUACCAGUCAUGCACCUCAUUUAUGUUUCUUUCCUUUUAAUGCCCAUACCAUUUCUAUAGCAUAAGCAAACUCAUCUUGUAUGGCUAUGUUGUUCUUCUAUUAUUCUUGUGAAGAAUGAAGAACUCAUCUCUUUUUUGGCGAUUUUACAUGGCACUUUUUUUAUCCUCCCUCUAUGACAUGAUCAGAUUUACACAAGAAUGGUUCUUACAAUAGUUGAUUCAGCAGCUUACUAUGCAAUGCAAACAUCAAAAAGCCCAGUGCAUAUAAACUGUGCUUUUAGAGAACCACUAGACUACAGAUAUCAAGAUUGGAGUGUCAACUGUUUCAAAAGGGUUGAACAAUUGGUUUAUAAAUGGAGAACUAUAUACUAGAUACCUAGGAAUGAAAAUGGCCUCUGCAUUUGGUGAUUGUUCUUGUUCAGUAAUGAAGGUUCUACAGAUUGUAAAGAAGAAAGUAGGGGCUUUUAUUAGUUAGUGCUAUCCAUACAGAAGAUGAUAUUUGGGCUGUAGCUUUACUAGCUAGACACUUUUCCUGGCCAGUUGCUGCUGACGUUCUGUCUGGACUGCGAAUGCCGAAAGCACAUAAUCCGACUAGAGAAGAGAAUUUUGUUUAUACACCACAUAGAUCAAAUUCUGCUAUCUGAAUCUUCUAAUAGCUGGAUAAUUCCAGAUAUUAUUGUACAGGUUUAUCUCCUCACUGAUUCUUUUUAUUCGAUGUUUCUGCAUCAUUUACCUUAUCAUGGCAAUUCCUUUUAAAUAUUUAUUACGUCGUUGGUAUUUUUUGAUUUGUAGAUUAUUAGCCAGAUUACUAGCAGAUGACUGGGGAACAUAUGUUGAGGCUUGCUCCUUGUCUUCUUACCAUCUUUAUUGAUGCACACCCAUGACGCCAAGGGGUGGACUUUUUUUUUUUUGUUUCCUCGGUUCAGUUUAGUCAGUAUUUGAUAAGGUCAGUUUAUAAGAAAUGACAACUGAAUUAACCUGUGAAGAAUAUCAAACCAAGCUGAACAAGCCAAUGCUCUUCGAUUCGGUUUUCAGUUGACUGAACUCUUCUAUGACGCCUAGUGAGAUGGAUGGGGGUAAGAGAGAAAAUAGAGGGACGGUGCAGGUGAUGAUGGAAAGCGGAGGCGGUAAAGGGAAUUGGAGACCACCGGUGGUGGAGGAGGGCAAGGCUGGCAGCACCUGCACUGGUGGAGAGGGCAGAGCGGACAGUGCUGGCAGUGGCGGAGAGAAGCGUGGACGGCGCCGGUGGUGAAGGACUGAAUGGCAGGGUGGGACAGUGCUAGCAAAGGCAGAAGCUGAGCUGAUGGUGGUGCUGGUCAGAGACAUGGCAGCGGCUUGGGGUGCUUUUGUAGGCGGAUGCAGUACGGUAGUAUGAUGGGAGUGGAGGGGAUUCAGGGUUCCUGAGAUGGACUGUUGUAGACCUGAUGAGAAAAUAGAAGAUGGGCUGGGCAUCCUCGGUUUUCUCGGGUUGCUCGGUUUUUGGCUAACAUCAACCGAAUAAACAACCGAGCACUGAUAUAUGCAGAAACCAAAACUCGGUGUUCUUGGCCUGCUCGGUUUUUGGCUAGCAUGAAACGAACAAACAAUUGAGCACCGAAGUAUGCAACUCAAAACCAUAGGAAAAGCAUAGACCGAGAAAUCCGGCCUUUUUGGGCCAGCUCGGUUUGGCUUUCGGUGUGCGGUUAAUUUGUGCCCACUCCUAGCCAUGAUCCUUCACAUGUUGUCAGUCACAGAAUUUGCAGCUAGUUUAUGCCAGUGUAAUCUCUGAAGAAAGACAAGCAAAGGGUCAGAUAUUUUGAUGUUUCUGAAUUCAGCAGUAUGGCCUGUAAGAGAGUAGCUAUCUUAAAAAUAUGUUAACAAACCACUCUGAUAGUAUGGAUAGGAUAAAACAUUCCCAGGAAGAAAUCAGAUGGGUGUAGCAGGAGUAACACUAUUAGUUUAUUUCUGUAUACUAUUAUGUGGUAAAUCCAUUGGAUAAAUCUUAUUUGCAGAUAAAUUUCAUGCACAUGUAGAAUGCUUCAUGCGCAUUGCAAGUGAUAUUUUGGAUAGACUACUACCGCCUAUGCACAUGUGACCUUAAAGUGACUUUUCCUGAUCCAAUUUGAUUAUUGGGAUUAAGAGAAGGGAAUUAAGAACUAGGGGAGCCUUGAAAACUGCAGUGAAAGUGAUAAACUAUGUUGAUUAAACUUAAGCAUUGCAUCUUUUCAUGUAACUAUCAUGAAGUCAAAAUGCUGGCAACCUAGUCUAACAUAACAAUGAUAUAUCAAACUUUCUUCAUAAUACACUCGAAGCCAACUAAUGUUGUAUAAAUUUAUGGGCUAUGAUAUAUGCAUAGACAUCAGUCCAUUAUUGCACAAUUGCUUUUGCAAAUCUAUAUAUGAUUAGUUUCAGAUUUUUGUUAGGCAGAGAUUUGUUUCAGACUUGCAAUGUGAGCUAACAGCUAACAAUGUGUUGAUAUGUUAUCUUUUACUUAAACAGUUAAAAGACAUGGAAAAGGGGGAAACUGUUAAGAGAUAAUUGUGUGAACAGGAGGCAUAUAUGAAGCUUCACUGCAUAUGAUUUUUUGAGCUGUUGAAAGAGAUUCUGCAUAUGCUUCUUGUGUUUUAGAAUAAGAGGUGUGUGUGUGCCCAAUAUGGAUGGAAACCUCACAUGUGCGCUGCCAAUGUUAAAAAUAUCUAUGGAAAGUGUAAUAUUGGUAUCAGAAAAGAUGAUAUCAUCUCAGUAGUAAGACUAUGAUAAACACUACUAUCAGAAGCAAAAUGUUAGCAAAUAGUAAAUUAGAUCGGACUGACCAAGAAUAGGCUACCAUUGAUAGUGAGUCUAUUUGGGAUAAUUAUCCCAAGGUAAAUGCAGAUUCAUGUUGUUAUUUAGCACAUAUCAUUGCUUGAAAAAAUUAAGUUAAACAUAGGAGACGUUCUUAGCAUGCUCUUAUCAUAUGGAUUCCUUACACUCAUUUGAAACAUAGUAUUUAUCCUCUGUUAGCGAUCUAUUCUUUAGUCUUUACUUUGCAGGAAAACUAGGACGCAGCUAGCCACAUGUUUAGAAUGGUUAUUUGGUUAGCGUAUUUCCAAGUCAUCCAACUAGAGAUGCUGGCGAGAAUGUGCAGAAUUUGAUAAUGAAAGUGUUACCACAGUAGCACUAUAAACCCCUGUUCUAAUGCAUUGAUCACAAUCCACACUGGUGCUGUCAUCAAAAGGAAGAAGCAGCAAGAGGACAGUCCGAUUGCUUCAAUGCUUGCUGAAGCUUAGAACUAUUUACUGCUGUUUCCAGCGAUGAUGGUUUCGAGGAGUUAGGACCCGAAAGGGAAACUCUACCGACAUGAGAUGAGAUACCUAACUUAGAUGGACAUGAUCUGUUGGAAGCAUACAGUCUUUUCAGUUUUGCAAAAACCAAAUUGAACCACAGCUUUUAUAGACUGACAUAUAUAUAUAGGUUUUUUUAACCAUCCUUAAAAAGUAACUCAAGUACCAAGAAUUUUAGUAUAAAUUUUUGAUACCUUAAGAUACCACACUUUUUACACGGGUGAUACCUUGAGUUAUUUUUUGGUAAAAAAGCUCAUAUAUAUACAAAUUACAGGCUUACAGCUAUACUAGUUUGAGUCGCGAACAACACACGGCACAAUUAAUCAACUCUUCUCUUGGCACUAAACCGGCGUCACAUAUCCCGCUCACGUGCAUGGGCAGUACAAACGUUCGUAAUCCCUAGGAAUGCGCCGACAAAAAAACUACAAAGAUUAGCUAAGGCAUCGUACAAGUGACACCUUAGCGUUCUUGAGCUCGAUCGUCACCUGCAAGGGUGCACAACCCCCGCCCACCAAUCCGACGCGAGAAUCACCCAGCAUUACGGGAACGAACAUGGGAAAAAAACGAAUCGUCGAACGAGAAGGCAGAGUGCGGGUUACCAGGCGAGCUUCAUCCUGGAGAGGGCGCCCGCUGUGGGUGGGGGCAGGAAGGGGAGAGGGAAGCUAGCUAGGGUUUUGGGGGAGUGGAGCUGCAGCUGCGUCCUCGAGCUGCUUCGGCCUUCCUCUCUUCCGACGACUCCGAGAG